CCCGACCCUCGGCGCUGGGCUCCAGCUCGGCCAAGGCCACGAUGUCCACGGCGGGGUUGGGGCCCAGCUUCUUGGCCGACUCCACGUCGGCCUUCAUCUCCUCCAGGUCGCGUUUGAGCUUGGCGCGGCGGUUCUGGAACCAGGUGAUGACCUGGGCGUUGGUGAGCCCCAGCUGCUGGGCGAUCUGGUCCCGGUCCGCCGGCGACAGGUAUUUUUGGUAGAGGAAGCGCUUCUCCAGCUCGUAGAUCUGGUGGUUGGUGAAGGCCGUCCGAGACUUCCGACGCUUCUUCGGCGUCUGCCGCUGCCCGAAGAUCGUCAUCCCGUCCCUUCCUGCCGACGAGCCGUCACAUUGCCACCUCGCCCCGAACAAACCGCCCCCCCCCCCCCCUCCUUCCCCGGCCCUCCCGGAUCCCCCGCUCCCCUCCGCGCGCCCUCGGCUGCGCGCACCGCCGCCCUCCGACGGGACCCCCGCGCCCCCUCUUCGCCUUACCUUCGGCCGCCUGCAGCACGCUGACUUCCAGCCCCUUGAAGGUUUUGCUGGCCAGCUCCUCCAGGGCGCACAGCGGCGACGUCUGCGAGAGCAGCGCCCGGCCCGACAGCGGCAGCCCGGCCGCGGGGUGCUUCUCGGCGGCGGACAGCAGCCCCAGCAAUCCAAUCGGACGUGGGCUCCCAGCAAGAACAGCCGCGACGUGCCUACCCAGGGCCUGGCAAGGCGAGAACUCACUGUAUUUUAUUUUUAAGUAUUUCGAUGGGUACACCCAUCCCUCCUCCAUGCCGGGACAGAGAGCAGACGGGACCGCUUCCCCCGAACGACGACCGCACAGGGGUCCCCCUGCCCUGCGAUUUGGCUCUGGACAAAACUUUGUUGGCCGGAGGGGGGGUGGUGGUGGGGGGGCAGCGACACGGGGCUGCGACUGCCGAACCGCUCUGGCUCCUCCGAGAGCUGUAAUAUCUCCUCGGCUCCCGGCACGCGUGAAUAAUUCACCGGGCUGCCAAAUCUAAGUAACGUGUGUGGCAGCUCUGAAGGAGGCGAAGGCCCGUUUUUGGGGGGCAGGAGGAGGUGUGGGGAAUCAAUUGAAACUUAAUAUAGGGCGUGGGGGGGAGAAUGGCGGAAAUAAGGCAGGCAACUUCUUCUAAUAACAACUGGCUGUUAAUAAUUCAGGAGCAGUCAUUGGAUUAUAGCGCAAUAUCCGAAGUACGCGGUGCCGGCACAGUGCGGGUGGAUAAUGUAAUCGGAGCUCAUUUCGGCUUCCAAUAAAUUACAGCAGCAAAAGUUUCCUGUUAAAGCAGUUAUUUGUAUUUCUUUUUCUGAAGGUGAUCCCCCUCCCUCCUCCUCUUCCAACAACUGCAGUGAGGAAGUUAAUUAAAAACUAAUAUUCCCACCCCUUGCAAAAGCAGUACGGAGAUGCGGAGCGGGAGGCACUGCCAGAGUUUGCCCGUCAUCUCUUUCAACUUUGUGUGCUGCCAGG
rnacentral:lncRNA from 1 species